rnacentral:rRNA from 1 species
CGGAGGGUGCAAGCGUUAUCCGGAUUCACUGGGUUUAAAGGGUGCGUAGGCGGGCAGGUAAGUCAGUGGUGAAAUCCUAGAGCUUAACUCUAGAACUGCCAUUGAUACUAUCUGUCUUGAAUAUUGUGGAGGUAAGCGGAAUAUGUCAUGUAGCGGUGAAAUGCUUAGAUAUGACAUAGAACACCUAUUGCGAAGGCAGCUUACUACGCAUAUAUUGACGCUGAGGCACGAAAGCGUGGGGAUCAAACAGGAUUAGAUACCCUGGUAGUCCACGCCCUAAACGAUGAUUACUCGACAUUGGCGAUACACAGUCAGUGUCUGAGCGAAAGCAUUAAGUAAUCCACCUGGGAAGUACGACCGCAAGGUUG